CAUGUACUUUCUGACACAAGGCGUGUUCAUAAUGCUUGUCCCAGACGAGUGAGUGAGCGGGUCGGUCGGUUUGUUGUUGGAUACUGUCUACACCAAGGUUGGCGUGCCGGACGGUGACGUAAAAGCACAAGUGGGCGUAUGGCUGGACGUCGAGACCGGAUGUUGUGCUCCCUCAACCAGUUGCGUACGGGUCUGCCACUAAUUGUGAGAAUCGAUCGCAGUCGUCAAGAAGGUCUGCCUCCCAAAGACAACUACAAACAAGAUGCUGCCUCUAACAAGAGUUGGAACACUCGUUGCGAUAUAUAUCACAGCAACAUGGCAAUUAUCAGGGAUGGUAACCAUAAAAACACCCGGCAAAUUUAAGCAAAUAAAUACCGCAGAAUACGGCAUUGACAUCCUUGGUACGAAAUGGCAAUAUAUCCGGGUUCGUUGCUGUAUGGAUGCCUUAGUGCUCCUAUUUUCACAAGACCGAAGCAAGAAGGCAGAGAUAUGUCUUGGAGUAUCCAGUAAUUCAAUCAGCAAAUUAAAAGCAUGCAAGAAUUGUGUUUUAUUUAGUACCAAGCUUCAUCGAUACCUCAGCUGUGUUGAGAAAAGGCCAUUCUGGAUCAGUUGGAUCGGUGGGACUUUCAAACUAGGUCGCGGACACUAUGUUGGCGAGGGGGAAAUCCUAACCUCUUCUGAAAGGGAAAUGACCUUCAGGCCAUCAUCUAUGGUGUUUACUUCCGGAUUUGGAAUUGGUUAUUGGGAUAUUGAAGACAAUCCAUCAAACUGUGCCCACUUCAAACAUAAGGCUAAUGACAAGAGGAUAUCACGACCGGUGUUCCACACUCUGUCCACCAGGUCAUCUCUGAGAUGCGUUGCUUCAUGCCAACGUCUACGGAUGUGCAAGAGUGCUAACUACAAGGGGACAGACAAGAGGUGCAUUCUGUACACGAACACGCCAAGACCCAAAGAUCUCAUUGAUGAAGAUGGAUGGAAGGUCUUCAUUAAAGUCUAAAUAUGAAUAAAUUGAGUGAGUAACAGGAAGCAGAUGAAAAUAUCUUUUGGUAAGCAAAGGUACAAGAGGACGAGCGAUGACCUCUAUUAGAUGGUGGACAGAGGAUAAGCUCUACCUACCCCGGCAUCAUCCACCGCGACCAUGUUCCGCUGCUCCACCUUAUACUACUUCCCCGAUUAAUAGCAACGCGUCAGGUCGACGUCGGCACACGUCUCGCCGCACUGUGCCCGCUCCAAGCGCUGCUU